rnacentral:rRNA from 1 species
AGAGUUUGAUCCUGGCUCAGAAUGAACGCUGGCGGCGUGCUUUACACAUGCAAGUCGAGCGAGGCGUGUAGCAAUACACAGUCGAGCGGCGAACGGGUGAGUAACGCGUGGAUAACCUGCCCAGAGGUGGGGAAUAACCCGGGGAAACUCGGGCUAAUACCGCAUGAUACCGAGAGGUCAAAGAGGGCUCGCAAGGGCUCUUGCCACUGGAGGGGUCCGCGUUCGAUUAGCUAGUUGGUAGGGUAAUGGCCUACCAAGGCGACGAUCGAUAGCCGGCCUGAGAGGGUGAUCGGCCACACUGGAACUGAGACACGGUCCAGACUCCUACGGGAGGCAGCAGUGGGGAAUUUUGCGCAAUGGGCGGAAGCCUGACGCAGCAACGCCGCGUGGAGGAUGAAGGUCUUUGGAUUGUAAACUCCUGUCAGCAGGGAAAAAGGGAGGGGACCUAAUACGUCCUUGACUUGAUUGUACCUGCAGAGGAAGCCCCGGCUAACUCUGUGCCAGCAGCCGCGGUAAUACAGAGGGGGCAAGCGUUAUUCGGAAUUAUUGGGCGUAAAGGGCGCGUAGGCGGCUUUGCAAGUGACGGGUGAAAGCCCUCGGCUUAACCGAGGAAUUGCCUGUCAGACUGCAUGGCUUGAGACCGGGAGAGGUGAGUGGAAUUCCCAGUGUAGCGGUGAAAUGCGUAGAUAUUGGGAGGAACACCAGUGGCGAAGGCGGCUCACUGGACCGGAACUGACGCUGAGGCGCGAAAGCGUGGGGAGCAAACAGGAUUAGAUACCCUGGUAGUCCACGCCGUAAAC